rnacentral:rRNA from 1 species
AUGUCCCUACGGGGCGCAGCAGUGGGGAAUAUUGCACAAUGGGGGAAACCCUGAUGCAGCGACGCCGCGUGAUCGAAGAAGUAUUUCGGUAUGUAAAGCUCUAUCAGCAGGGAAGAAAAUGACGGUACCUGACUAAGAAGCCCCGGCUAAAUACGUGCCAGCAGCCGCGGUAAUACGUAUGGGGCAAGCGUUAUCCGGAUUUACUGGGUGUAAAGGGAGCGCAGGCGGCUUGGCAAGUCUGAUGUGAAAGGCUGGGGCUCAACCCCGGGACUGCAUUGGAAACUGUUAGGCUGGAGUGUCGGAGG